AUUUGACGUUACCUACAGAAGAAGCACCGGCUAACUCCGUGCCAGCAGCCGCGGUAAUACGGAGGGUGCGAGCGUUAAUCGGAAUUACUGGGCGUAAAGCGCAUGCAGGCGGCCUGUUAAGUCAGAUGUGAAAGACCCGGGGCGUUAACCUCGGAAUUGCAUUUGAAACUGGCAGGCUAGAGUCUUGUAGAGGGGGGUAGGAAGUUUCAGGUGUAGCGGUGAAAUAGCGUAGAGAUCUGAAGGAAUACCAGUGGCGAAGGCGGCCCCCUCGGACAAAGACUGACGCUCAGAUGCGAAAGCGUGGGGAGCAAACAGGAUUAGAUACCCCUGGUAG
rnacentral:rRNA from 1 species